rnacentral:piRNA from 1 species
GAAAUGAUCAACUAAACAGGAGCUCAAGC